AAAACAAAACAAAACAAAACCAAAAACCAAAAACCCAGAACCCUGACCUUGCCGGCAAGUCGAACAGUUCUGCACCCCUCCCCCUAGCUUCCCCGGGAGCCGGUUCACGCUAUCCCAAUUGGUCAGCCGGCCUGUAUCAGCACCUGCCUGGCAGUGACAAGCGAAUCUCCACGGAAGACAAGAGGCUCUGAAAAGGAAGCGGCCUCGGAAACGCUUUGAGGCCCACGAGGAAAGGAUUCCAAGCGGAAAAGGAGGAGAGGACCUUCGGAGGGAUGAGCCCGGCGGUCAGAGACUCGUGGGGACAAGGCUGGCGAGGACGACUGGGGGUCAGGAGCGGGAGGUGUUAGGAGGGCCCGGGAGGAGCCGUGGGGUGUUGGCAUAGCGGUUAAGAGCUGCUGACGUGCUCCAGGGGAUUGAAUCCAGACUCCAUUACCUAAUUAGGAAGACUUCUUCCUUUUCCUGUCAAGCCGGCUCUGGUGGAACGGAAAAGUCCAAAGCCUAGAUACAGAGUAAAUAGUUAAUCUUGCCUUCCAGUGCACUUGCUCUUGGUUCAUUGUUCAAACAUCCAUGUCCUCUGCGUUGUCACAUGGAUGGGUCUCUAGAGGUCACGGAUUCUGUUUGCUUGAUUGGGCUUGAAGGUC